AAGUCAGGGGUGAAAGCCCCCGGCCCAACCGGGGAACGGCCUUUGAAACUGCGGACCUUGAGUGGAGCAGAGGGGAGUGGAACUCUCGGUGGAGCGGUGAAAUGCGUUGAUAUCGAGGGGAACACCAGCGGCGAAGGCGACUCCCCAUGCUUCUACUGACGCUGAGGUGCGAAAGCCAGGGGAGCGAACGGGAUUAGAUACCCCGGUAGUCCUGGCCCUAAACGGU
rnacentral:rRNA from 1 species